rnacentral:tRNA from 1 species
UUAAUUGAAGCCAAAUAGAGGCAUUUUAUUGUUAAUAAAAUCAAUGAUUAAAAUCCAAUUAAA